GAGUUUGAUCUUGGCUCAGGAUGAACGCUAGCGGCAGGCUUAAUACAUGCAAGUCGAACGGGAUUCAGAUAGCAAUAUUUGAUGAGAGUGGCGCACGGGUGCGUAACGGGUAUGCAACCUACCCAUUACUAGAGGAUAGCCCAGGGAAACUUUGAUUAAUACCCCAUAGUAUUAUGAUAAGGCAUCUUCUAAUAGUUAAAGAUUUAUUGGUAAAGGAUGGGCAUGCGUAUCAUUAGUUUGUUGGUGAGGUAACGGCUCACCAAGACUACGAUGAUUAGGGGGCCUGAGAGGGUGAUCCCCCACACUGGUACUGAGAUACGGACCAGACUCCUACGGGAGGCAGCAGUAGGGAAUAUUGGUCAAUGGAGGAGACUCUGAACCAGCCAUGCCGCGUGCAGGAAGACGGCCUUAUGGGUUGUAAACUGCUUUUGAUAGGGAAGAAAACGGCUAUGCGUAGGUGGACUGACGGUCCCAUACGAAUAAGGAUCGGCUAACUCCGUGCCAGCAGCCGCGGUAAUACGGAGGAUCCAAGCGUUAUCCGGAUUUAUUGGGUUUAAAGGGUGCGCAGGCGGGCUAAUAAGUCAGUGGUGAAAUCUCUCGGCUCAACCGAGAAACUGCCAUUGAAACUGUUAGUCUUGAGUACAGUUGUAGUGGGCGGAAUAUAGCAUGUAGCGGUGAAAUGCUUAGAUAUGCUAUAGAACCAACGAUCGCGAAGGCAGCUCACUAAGCUGUAACUGACGCUCAGGCACGAAAGCGUGGGGAGCAAACAGGAUUAGAUCCCCUGGUAGUCCACGCUGUAAACGAUGAUCACUCGUUGUUGGCGACACACAGUCAGCGACUAAGCGAAAGUUUUAAGUGAUCCACCUGGGGAGUACGCUCGCAAGAGUGAAACUCAAAGGAAUUGACGGGGGCCCCGCACAAGCGGUGGAGCAUGUGGUUUAAUUCGAUGAUACGCGAGGAACCUUACCUGGGCUCAAACGUAGUAUGACGUAUGGUGAAAGGGAUCUUUCUUCGGACGGACUACAAGGUGCUGCAUGGUUGUCGUCAGCUCGUGCCGUGAGGUGUCGGGUUAAGUCCUAUAACGAGCGCAACCCCUAUUCUUAGUUGCCAGCACAUAAUGGUGGGGACUCUAGGAGAACUGCCUACGCAAGUAGAGAGGAAGGUGGGGAUGACGUCAAAUCAGCACGGCCCUUACGUCCAGGGCUACACACGUGCUACAAUGGCCGGUACAGAGGGCAGCCACCUGGUGACAGGGAGCGAAUCUCAAAAGCCGGUCUCAGUUCGGAUCGAAGUCUGCAACCCGACUUCGUGAAGCUGGAAUCGCUAGUAAUCGCGCAUCAGCCAUGGCGCGGUGAAUACGUUCCCGGGCCUUGUACACACCGCCCGUCAAGCCAUGGAAGCUGGGGGUACCUGAAGUACGUGACCGUAAUAGGAGCUGCCUAGGGUAAAACUAGUGACUGGGGCUAAGUCGUAACAAGGUAACCGUA
rnacentral:rRNA from 1 species